UAUCUCUCCGUACGGGAAGGAUGAGAAGCUUCGACUAAGGUUCGAUUCGAGCGCAGCGAGAACGCGUUGCCGCAGGCAACGACCCGAAGGGCGAAGCGCGCAGCGCUGAGUCAUCCUUCCCCCACCACCA
rnacentral:sRNA from 2 species